AUUGUGGUGUGAAGGCUUCUCACUGUAGUGACUUCUCUUGUUAUGGAGUACAGGCGUUGGGAACACGGGCCCUAGAAUGCAGGCUCAGUAGUUGGGGAAUACAGGCUUACUUGCUCCAAGAUCCUGCCCUCUGGGAGGUGUGGGCCUGAGGCCAAAAUUUGGCAGCAUGUUAGGUCCUGAACCUCUCCUGUCCAUGCCAUCCUGUUGGUGUUGAUGGUACCACCACUGUUAUGGCUGGCAUGUGGAAUCUUAUUUCCCUGACCAGGGAUUGAACCAGCACCCCCUGCACAGACUCUUAACCACUGGACCACCACGGAAGUCCUGCCUACUUUCAUUUUAAUGGUGUGCCCCAGUAACUCUAGAACCCAAAUGAGAAAUGUAUCCACAUCUGUUCUGUCAACAUCAUCAGCUGUUUGGUGGGUGUCAUUAAGUCUAAUCUUAGAGGAGAGGAAAGCAUGGCGGCCCAGUGGGUCAAGAUCCCCUGACCUGGAGAC
ensembl:lncRNA